rnacentral:tRNA from 1 species
AUCUUUUUAGUAUAAAAGUAUGAGUGACUUCCAAUCACACGGCCUUGGUUGAAGCCCAAGAAAAGAUA